AUUGAACGCUGGCGGCAUGCUUUACACAUGCAAGUCGAACGGUAACAGGGAGCUUGCUCCGCUGACGAGUGGCGAACGGGUGAGUAAUGCGUCGGAACGUGCCGAGUAGUGGGGGAUAACGCAUCGAAAGGUGUGCUAGUACCGCAUACGUACCGAGGUAGAAAGUGGGGGACCUUCGGGCCUCACGCUAUUCGAGCGGCCGACGUCUGAUUAGCUAGUUGGUGAGGUAAAGGCUCACCAAGGCGACGAUCAGUAGCGGGUCGGGGAGGAUGAUCCGACACUCUGAGACUGAGACACGGCCCAGACUCCUACGGGAGGCAGCAGUGGGGAAUUUUGGACAAUGGGCGCAAGCCUGAUCCAGCCAUGCCGCGUGUCUGAAGAAGGCCUUCGGGUUGUAAAGGACUUUUGUCCGGGAGCAAAUGCCUGGUGUUAAUAGCACUGGGAGCUGAGAGUACCUGAAGAAUAAGCACCGGCUAACUACGUGCCAGCCGCCGCGGUAAGAC
rnacentral:rRNA from 1 species